rnacentral:rRNA from 1 species
AUGGCUCAGAACGAACGCUGGCGGCGCGUUUAAGCAUGCAAGUCGAGCGGCAAGGGCCUUCGGGCCCCUAGAGCGGCGGACGGGUGAGUAACACGUGGACAAUCUGCCCCCCGGCCCGGGAUAGCCCAGGGAAACCUGGAUUAAUACCGGAUGAGACGGGACCCGCGAUGGCGGGAUCCGGGAAAGGCGCUGCGGCGCCGCCGGGGGAUGAGUCUGCGUCCCAUUAGCUAGACGGCGGGUAACGGCCCACCGUGGCGACGAUGGGUAGCCGGCCUGAGAGGGUGGACGGCCACAUUGGAACUGAGACACGGUCCAGACUCCUACGGGAGGCAGCAGCUAAGAAUCUUCCGCAAUGGGCGAAAGCCUGACGGAGCGACGCCGCCGUGAACGAAGAAGGCCGCGAGGUUGUAAAGUUCUUUCGGGAGGGGGAACAACCGUGGCAGGGAAUGGCCGCGGGAUGACGUGAAUCCCGGAAUAAGCCCCGGCUAACUACGUGCCAGCAGCAGC